CGGAGGAGGUUUGCUUCAUCAUGAACAGAAAAUGAGUUGCCACAAUUAAAACCGUAUCACACACUGGGAGCUGACUGAGAGUAUAAAAAGCUUUCAUUACAGCCUCAUCACUAGUGUUUUUUACUUUGAUGAAAACACAACUGCGUCAGAAACAUUUGUCUGUUUGCUCCCAUCUUUUCUGCAGUUGAUCUGAGCAGCAGCAGACUCGGCUACAAAUUGCUGGGGAACUCAUUAUCACUUAGAAUAACGUGAUUUAUUUCGAAAAGCUACCAGAAAAUCUUUUAUUUUUGCUCACUUUCAUACUUUAAAGCUAGAAGAGGUGGUAUAACAGCAGCCCUGGAGCUCAGAGGAUGGGAAAUAUCAUGAUAUAUGUACAGGGCCAUGAGACACUACAAUCAGCAGAGAGAGAUCUGGCAAUACUGUUUGUAUUGAGGUAGAUUAAUAUCUCUGCUUGCAUUAGACUGUGGCAGGCAAUGCUGCAAAUCACCGAGCAGCACAGCCUCAUUGCACUAUUGGAUUUACAUCUGGACGGUGCAACAGUGCUAAGAAAUACAUUUAUCGCUUAGAUUUACAAGACAAGUUCACGUUAGAUUAAACAUUACUAUCAGAAUGGUUCAGCUAUAAAUUGAUUCUCUGUAGAAUUCCUUAUCCUUGCACCCAAGCAACAGUUUACAAAUCAAAGAUGAGGGAGAGCUUAUAUCAAAAAUUAUAAAAUAUCAAACACCUGGAAAGAAAUAUGUUGAAAGGAACAUUCUAAAAUUGGAAUGAGUGUAAAUGGAAGCUGACAAGAAGAUACUGAAAAAUUGUUAAGUGUUGCCAAACCUAUACAUUUUGGACAUGGCUCAAGUUAAGAAAGCAAUGGAAGGAUGUAUUUCAUGGCCUUAAAGAGGAUUUCCAUUAUUAUAUGCUCAAAGGUCCUGAGAUGCAAGGUGUUCUUCAAAAAGGCUAAAAUCAUAGCCCCUACAAAUCCUAUUAGGGGCCAGCAUAGAGUGAUUUGAAAUAAGUGGUUGAAAUAUGAUCCUGAGCAUACAAUAGCUGCAUACUGAGAACAAGAAGCAGCAGAUAACACAUAUACUGAGGCUCAAAAAGGCCAAAUGGAUGCAAACAGGUUAUGAAUUCUGGCAUUUAUUAACCUCUGAAACCCAAUUAGUUUCUAGGUAUUUUUUUGUUUUGUUUUUUGACUGCAGUGUAAAAUCCUGAAACUCUAUGGAAACAGCACAGCCAUAGCUACAAGAAAAGAAAACUCAAAAAUGUCUUCUGCACUCUAUGAGACAAAUAUAAUGUCAUAAUCACAAAAAAAUGAAAGUUAAAGUUCUGUGAUAAUUUAGCAAAAUCAAUGUUUGUGUCCACAUUUACCACCAAGGUUGGCUGCUAUUUGUACAAUAGAUAUUUUACUACAUACAUUUAUAAUUUAUUUCAAUACUUAUCUCCUACGUACUUUGUGUAAAUACCACCUGCAUUUCAGCCAAGUUAAGCUGAAAAAUCCCUGAAUUUUUGUCAUAUGACUGUUGACAGUAGCUACGUCAUGUAUGGCUUUACGGUUGUACCUAAGAGCACAAUUUUUUGUUUUUUACAGAACAUAGUACUACAAAUAGUUUAUAUGUAGCGCAGUAUUAAAGUGAUUUUGGUGAAAUACAACAAUUUCAAGCUUAGAUCUAGUUACUGCCCUCUGUUUGCGUUGACGUUUUUGUAUUAUUUAAAACUUGGUUAAUUUGUACUGUUUAGUCACAGUAUGUACAUGUGUAGGCUGCUGGAAGCUGGACAAGAAAAAUAUGCAGAUAAACCUGUGAAACUUACUUGAAAUUAAAGUGCAUUGUUGUAGAUAUGACCCUU